UACGUAGGGCGCAAGCGUUGUCCGGAAUUAUUGGGCGUAAAGAGCUCGUAGGCGGCUUGUCACGUCGGGUGUGAAAGCCCGGGGCUUAACCCCGGGACUGCAUUCGAUACGGGCUGGCUAGAGUGUGGUAGGGGAGAUCGGAAUUCCUGGUGUAGCGGUGAAAUGCGCAGAUAUCAGGAGGAACACCGGUGACGAAGGCGGAUCUCUGGGCCAUUACUGACGCUGAGGAGCGAAAGCGUGGGGAGCGAACAGG
rnacentral:rRNA from 1 species